AUAGAACUAGACAUAUUUUCUACUUGCUACAACAGUUGCAAUGGCUCAUAGCAUGUUGCAUAAGCAUAAAAAAAGUUGGAAGGAGCAUGUUAAUUAUGUAACCAUCAGGCUAUUUUCCUAAACUAAUAGCAAUACGCUCCAUAACAUUAUAGCAAUACGCUCCAUAACAUUAUAGCACACACCAAUGGAAAAUAAUCAUACUCAGUCUCUAACUAGUCUGUCCAAAAUGCUUCUCCAGCAGACAUUAUGACAUGCUUGUGAUUUUCUUUUAUUUUCUUAAAAGCCAAAGGAGAAAUUGCGCAUUAUGCCUUGU
rnacentral:lncRNA from 1 species